CGAAAUUAUCUCCUGUCCUUCUUGAUGCAUCGCUAUCUGCAUGGGGGAAGGGCAAACAAAACGAAAACACGGAGGUCCGCGGAGGCAUUUGGCAAUUUCUGGUUGGUUUGUUUUUAGGCUUGAACUCCCAGAAGCAGGAGGGGUAGAUAAAAAUUACCUUUCCUUCCUUGAUGAGACUGCCCUGCAGAGAAAUAGAACAAUGUAGCCUCUGGACAAGGUUUCGCUGCUCUCAGAAGAGCUUCCCACCACAGGAUGAGUUCUGAAGGCUGCAGGCUGUCGGAGUGAGUGCACAAGAGGAAGGCUGCAGAGGGGAUGCAGCAGCUGGACUGAAAACAAGAAACAGACUGAUGAGAAAGAUAGAUGCAGCCCCUCGAGAGGUACAGAAACUUUGUGCUCCUGAGAGUCACCUCAGAACGAGCUGUCGGGCCCCCCGGAAGCACUGAGGAUGAUCUCCCUUUGGGAAACUGAGAAUUCUGGGAACUGCUAAGGCUGGUUGGUGGCGGUCAUCCAAGUCCCAUAUGGAGAUCCAGAAUGUGUCCUCAAGAGCCUCCUGCCAUAUCGGCUCCAGCCUCGGCAUCGGCAGCCCGAGUAACAGAAGUUGGCCAGGGCUGGCCUCCCGCCCUCCCCCGCCCCGGAGAUGGGGAGCAGCGACCAUGGUGAGCACCGCUGACCUGCAGCUGUCCAACAUGUGGCCGUCGGCCCUGGCAGCCCCCCAGUGAGGCAACUGGUUGCUUCAGGGAAAAGACCUUGUUCGCCUUUCUUCAUCUAGCACCUCGGUGGGAUCAGGGCUCCUGGCCAGUGUUCCCCAUUGAGGGCCAAGGCCCCACAAAAAGCUUUAUAAAUGGGCAUGUGCACCCAGACAACCUGUUGUUUCUCAGAGAUCUGGAUCUUCUAUCAAAAUAUUUAAAUACUGGGGCUGGCCCCGUGGCCAAGUGGUUAAGCUUGUGCGCUCUGCUUUGGCGACCCACGGUUUCACUGGUUCGGCUCCUGGGUG